rnacentral:rRNA from 1 species
AGUGAACGCUGGCGGUAGGCCUAACACAUGCAAGUCGAACGGCAGCACAGUAAGAGCUUGCUCUUACGGGUGGCGAGUGGCGGACGGGUGAGGAAUACAUCGGAAUCUACUUUUUCGUGGGGGAUAACGUAGGGAAACUUACGCUAAUACCGCAUACGACCUACGGGUGAAAGCAGGGGAUCUUCGGACCUUGCGCGAUUGAAUGAGCCGAUGUCGGAUUAGCUAGUUGGCGGGGUAAAGGCCCACCAAGGCGACGAUCCGUAGCUGGUCUGAGAGGAUGAUCAGCCACACUGGAACUGAGACACGGUCCAGACUCCUACGGGAGGCAGCCGUGGGGAAUAUUGGACGAUGGGCGCAAGCCUGAUCCAGCCAUACCGCGUGGGUGAAGAAGGCCUUCGGGUUGUAAAGCCCUUUUGUUGGGAAAGAAAAGCAGCAGGUUAAUACCCCGCUGUUCUGACGGUACCCAAAGAAUAAGCACCGGCUAACUUCGUG